UUUUUUAUUUUAUUAAUAUUCUUGAAAUUGCUUCAUAUUUGGUUAUGAUUUUUAAAAAUAUAGGUAAAAAAAAAAAUAGAUUUACAAUUGCAUAAUUUGAAGUCACUUGCCAGAAUUCAAAAGACUUUGACCAGAAUUAAAAUAAAUGAAAAAAUGAAAACAAAACAGAAAAGUGACAACAGAAGAGAAGAAGACAAUUGACACAAUCUCAGAAAAAACGUUGCUAACCAGUAGAAAAUUGUCCAGUCAAGAAGCAAAAAUACAGGUAUUUUUCAAUACCUUGAGAAAUCAGAAAGAGAAGUUAAAGAAUAUGACAUUAUCUUCUAGACCACCCCAAAGCUUGGGCUAAAACAAUUGAGCACAUCAUAUCCACAGCUACACCAAGAUGGUUGUCAGAGUUAAUGAGAACUGAUUGUUUCAUGACAUUUGAAAUAGAGCUUGGAAUAGUGACCAUGGUGACCAGCUUAUCCCUACCACUCAAUUUAUUCAACAACACUACCUGUUAAAGUUUACUCAGGAAUUCAUUCCAUAAAAUUUCUAGAUCUUUAAAUCCUCAAAGACGAACACAUGAAAAUACUUGUGUUUAAGAUAUGAAAUGCUAACAAAAAACUACAGAAAAAUUCCAACAUCUUCAUAAAAACUCCAAACCAACCCAUUUGGAACUUUAAAUUCUUUAUUAAAGGCAAAGGUAUUCAUUUACAUAGAAACACAAACCAGAAAGAAAACUGUUUAUUGAAAGACUAUUUUAUUAACUGAAACUGAGAUCUAACGCAAC
rnacentral:lncRNA from 1 species